GCCUCUUGCCAUCAGAUGUGCCCAGAUGGGAUUAGCUUGUUGGUGAGGUAACGGCUCACCAAGGCGACGAUCCCUAGCUGGUCUGAGAGGAUGACCAGCCACACUGGAACUGAGACACGGUCCAGACUCCUACGGGAGGCAGCAGUGGGGAAUAUUGCACAAUGGGCGCAAGCCUGAUGCAGCCAUGCCGCGUGUAUGAAGAAGGCCUUCGGGUUGUAAAGUACUUUCAGCGGGGAGGAAGGUGUUGUGGUUAAUAACCGCAGCAAUUGACGUUACCCGCAGAAGAAGCACCGGCUAACUCCGUGCCAGCAGCCGCGGUAAUACGGAGGGUGCAAGCGUUAAUCGGAAUUACUGGGCGUAAAGCGCACGCAGGCGGUCUGUCAAGUCGGAUGUGAAAUCCCCGGGCUCAACCUGGGAACUGCAUUCGAAACUGGCAGGCUUGAGUCUUGUAGAGGGGGGUAGAAUUCC
rnacentral:rRNA from 1 species